UCCCUGGUGGCUCAGACGGUAAAGCGUCUGCCUGCAGUGCAGGAGACCCAGGUUCGAUCCCUGGGUUGGGAA
rnacentral:tRNA from 1 species